UACGUAGGCAGCGAGCGUUGUUCGGAAUUACUGGGCGUAAAGAGUGUGUAGGCGGUGCUCUAAGUUUGGUGUGAAAUCUCCCGGCUCAACUGGGAGGGUGCAUCGAAAACUGGAGUGCUCGAGGGUGGGAGAGGUAAGCGGAAUUCCUGGUGUAGCGGUGAAAUGCGUAGAUAUCAGGAGGAACACCUGUGGUGUAGACAGCUUACUGGACCACUUCUGACGCUGAGACACGAAAGCGUGGGUAGCAAACAGG
rnacentral:rRNA from 1 species